CGACAGCUAUUUUGGCAUGCAUGUUUGUUGCUAUGCAACAGCAACGACAUCAUAGAGCAGCUCCACACUGCGCCUAGUGGUUAAAGUGGUCAUUUUUGAGGAUGUGCACAACCAACGUUCCAAACCACCGCAGAAAACACAAGGCUGAUGUCAUCAGAUGUGAAAUCAAAGGAGCAGCUGUGAAGUAAACGCUGGCUGAGGCAGCUUCCCUUUGUUUCGGAGGAAGCGGAUGCUGUAGACUCGCUGCAUGGCGGCCGGCAGGUAAGACAGCACAUCCGAGUCGGUGGUCAGCUUGGGCAGGCCGAGGUCGGGG